rnacentral:rRNA from 1 species
CGGAAGGCCCUUCGGGGUACUCGAGCGGCGAACGGGUGAGUAACACGUGAGUAACCUGCCCCUGACUUCGGGAUAAGCCUGGGAAACCGGGUCUAAUACCGGAUACGACCACCGCGGGCAUCCGCUGGUGGUGGAAAGUUUUUUCGGUCGGGGAUGGGCUCGCGGCCUAUCAGCUUGUUGGUGGGGUAGUGGCCUACCAAGGCGACGACGGGUAGCCGGCCUGAGAGGGCGACCGGCCACACUGGGACUGAGACACGGCCCAGACUCCUACGGGAGGCAGCAGUGGGGAAUCUUGCGCAAUGGGCGGAAGCCUGACGCAGCGACGCCGCGUGGGGGAUGACGGCCUUCGGGUUGUAAACCUCUUUCAGCAGGGACGAAUUUGACGUGUACCUGCAGAAGAAGCGCCGGCUAACUACGUGCCAGCAGCCGCGGUAAUACGUAGGGCGCGAGCGUUGUCCGGAAUUAUUGGGCGUAAAGAGCUCGUAGGUGGCUUGUCGCGUCUGCCGUGAAAGACUCGGGCUUAACUCGGGUUCUGCGGUGGAUACGGGCUGGCUAGAGGUAGGCAGGGGAGAACGGAAUUCCUGGUGUAGCGGUGAAAUGCGCAGAUAUCAGGAGGAACACCGGUGGCGAAGGCGGUUCUCUGGGCCUUUCCUGACGCUGAGGAGCGAAAG